AUGCUCACUUCCACAGCACAUAAACUAAAAUUGGAAGACUGAAUAGAUGAUUAGCAUGGUCCUUAUGUAAGGAGAAUACAUAAACUCGUAAAAUACACUGUAUAUUU
ensembl:snRNA U6 U6 spliceosomal RNA